CAAUAGCGUAUAUUAAAGUUGUUGCGGUAAAAAAGCUCGUAGUUGGAUUUCUACCGAAGAUAGCCGGUCGGGUCUUCGACCUUGUAUCUGGUUUUGUCUUUGGUAUCCUCAUAGGGAACGUUUCUGCGCUUUAUUGCGUGGUGCGGUAUCUAUGACUUUUACUUUGAGGAAAUUAGAGUGUUCACGGCAGGCAAAUGCCUUGAAUAUAUUAGCAUGGAAUAAUAACAUAGGAUCUUCGUCCUAUUUUGUUGGUUUCUAGGGCUAAGAUAAUGAUUAAUAGGGAUAAUUGGGGGCAUCUGUAUCAACGCGUCAGAGGUGGAAUUCUUGGAUUGCGUUGCGACAAACUACUGCGAAAGCAUUUGCCAAGGAUGUUUUCAUUGA
rnacentral:rRNA from 1 species